ACUCAUUUUCCUUUUAAAAAUACCCCAAACACACCCGCGAAAUUAUGAUGCCACAAAGGACCUAGCUUUCGCUUUCCAUGGCCACAAUGUCGUCUCCAACACGCCUUGUGGGUGCUGCGAACACGGCAGGGACUCUUCGGACUUCGGUUGCUUUGAAGAUUAGUCUCUUGGGUGAUUCCCAAAUUGGGAAAACUAGUUUUCUGGCAACUGCAUUUGUUUGUGUUUUUUUCUUUCUUUCUUGGAAAUGUUGUUUUAUGCUUUCCUGGGAACCAAACAUAGCAAUAGCAAUCCAUAGUGAUGUUGUUUGAUGACUUGUUAGUGACGUAGUAUAUAUUAUUCUGGUUUAGGUUCCUAACUACUAUAAAGUUAGAAAUUGAAUAUUUCCUUUGGUAGUUUUUCUUGGUUAAAGUCUAUUUUACUUUGAGCAUUGCUAAUGGUGUUGCUCAUGAUGCUCUGUCACAAUUAUAUACAAAUGAUGAAUUUUCAGAAUUUUAUUAUACCUAAACUGGUUUGAAAGCAUAUUGUCAAUUCUGGAAGAAAAAUAAAAUUUUUGGCCCUAGUUUUGUAUGAAAUUGAAUACAGUUGAAGGAGUAAUUGAAUCUUCUUUGAAUAUUUCUCCUGGUAUUUUUCUUUUCUUUAUCUGCUUUGAAUCUCUCACAGGUACUAUUAACUUCAGUAUCUUUUGAGGAAUCGAAUCUGGUGUACGGAUUCCUUUUACGCACUGUGUGGUUGCUUAGAAAAUGGGGAAAACAAGAAAAGAAGGAGAAAAUUUUGAUAUACUUGUGUGUUUUCAUUUUUCCUUUGCCUUAUUCUUAAUUAGUGACCUUACUCUCUGGAUGCAAUCCAUAUCGAAUGAUAGCUUUUACCUUACCUUCAUGCAAUAGAGAAUUGAUUCCUACCUAGAUGUAGUUAGACAAAAAUAAAAUAUUAAUAUAAAUAUCACUGAUAAUAAUAAUAAUAAUAAUAAUAAAAUUCUUCGUGCUUCCACAGUAAAUCUAGUUGCAGUGAUCUCUUCAAAUGAAACUACAAAUCUCAUAAAAUUUAAUAUACCAUUUUAUAGAUCAUUGAAGUUUUAUAUUGUUAAUGGUCUUUGGUUGAUUCAUACAAAACUUGUGAAUAGACUAUAUGUAUGUUGGCCAUAUAUAAUUCAUUUGACCUUGUAAAGUGUAAUAAGCAGUAAUAUAGCCAAGCUUGAACCUUGAAGGUUGUUUCAAUUAAAUAUAGAACAUCAUUUUUGGACUUAUAAAUAGGUCCUAAGUUCACAUUAUAGGUUGAAUUAUGACGAAAACUUUCCCUGAUGUUCUGCUAAUAUUUUCUACAUAUAGUUUGAAUUUCUAUUGAUAUUGUAACUAGGAUGAGUGAUGUAGAGAGAAUGAAAUGAAGCUAUCCAAGUUCAAGAGGAUUUGUGUCUUCUGUGGGACUAGCCACGACAAGAAGAGGAGCUACCAAGCAAUCCACAUUUACUUUUCUCCCUCUACUUCAUUACCUUGGACUAGCCGGGGCAAGAAGAGCAGCUGCCAAGAAAUCCACACUUGUGUCUUCUGAAGAAGAAUUAUUUUUAGUGGUUUCUCUCAUCUUAAUAACUAAAUUCAAAUAACGGGGAAAACAAAUGGUAUAUUGGCUUGAGGUGAUGCUUAUCAGUGUUGGCUUAAAAUCUCAGUGAAUCAAGGAACCCCUUUGUAGAAUAUGCAGUGCAAUAUGCUGUAGCAGCAGCCCUUGCGACAUUGGAUAAGGAUAAGAAGGAUUUGUUACACAAACUACUUUUACAAGGUCUUGACAUUACAAUCUUAGGUUGCAAUGACUUCUAUUCAUAUCGGAAUCAGGUGGGGUUUAUCAUGUGAGAUUGGAAAAGGGAAAGUUAGCAGUGGUUUUGAUGUUAGUUCUGCAGUUUAUGGUAAGUCAACGAUAUGUUCGCUUUUCACCAGAAUUGCUUUCUUCUGCUCAGGUUUCUCUCUCUCCCUCCAUCUUUCUCUCUCUAUAUAUACAAUUAUAUUUUGUCGUCGUAAAGUAUUAUUGAAUUCUUACCUUGCCCUUAAAGUUUAUUUUUCCCAAUUUGGUCUCUAAACUAUAUGAUCAUUCCCAAUUUGGCUCAAUUCCCAACUACUGUCCAAAUUAUUGACAUAAAUUUGCACGUGGCACACUUUGGCCCCACAUGGCAUAUUAAAUAACCAUUCAUUUUGGUACAUGUAUGAUAGCAUUGGUGUUACACUUUGGCAUUACAAUUCAUCAAUGAUCAUUGAUCAAACAUAGCAUGAGACAUUCAACUUGUCAGAUAUCAAGGGCUCUGUGGCAGAGCUUAUGAUGGGAAUGAGCUGAGAACAUGAAAAACAAAAGAAGGUUAGGAAGUUAUAGAAGACUGCUUUUGACAGAAGUGCCUUUUUGGGGACAACAUUGUAACGAGGGUACUUAAUUAGGUGUAUUUUUCUACAAACUUUCACUAGAAUUUGUCUUAUUUAUGAGUUUUCCUUAUUUGGAAUUGCAUGAUGCUGUUUUUUUUUUGAAUGAAUAAAAUUGCAGGAUGUAGUUAAAGGAAAAGCGUUAGAGGAAGUCAUCGGUGAUGUGCUGAAUGGAAAAUGGGACCAUAAGAGGACUACAUAUUGAAUCCCUUAGUAGUUGGAUUUUUCGGCUCCAAUGGAGCAGAUUUGGAUAAACUGCAGACAUUUGGUGAAUUUGAGUUCAAACAUUUUGGGGACAAGGUUAUUGUUGAGGAACAAAUAGAGAGGUACAUUUCAAUGCAGUUUGGUUAAACAUAUAUGUGCAAUGCUACUGUAUAGUCUGUUUUUAGUGGUGUAUAAUGUUGCUUAGUUAGAAAUAUUGCUUUUUGAUUGUUUUUGAAUUGGCAUUUUUCGUUUUGUUUUUCUUGAGAUUUUAGUUAAUAUUUUUUUGUAGGGGAUAUGAAUGAGAUAUUUCGUGGCAGUUCAUUUCUUGAAUUAAGAAGUGCAUGAUUUUAUCCUCUGCGGAAAACAGCUUGCUUGAGGUCUUUCUUGUCGAAAAUAGAAAUAACGUAUUUUUUUUUUUAAUGCAUUUUAAUUUUUGACAUGUGUAUGUUUAUUCUCUCUCACACACACAUACCCACACACCCACACUGAUAAGGAUCCCAGUUCAGAUGCAUUAGCCACAGCUUCAACAACUUCAAAUAUGUCUUCUUCAGCUGUCAAGAACAGAGCUUCAGCUUCAGCUGCAUAUGCAUCAUGUAGUCAGUUAGGAAUUGGUUAGCUAGUUGUUAGCUAGUUUAGGAGUUAGUUACACUGUUAGAGGUUAGUUAUCUGCUUAUCACAGCAGUCGUUUACUUUCUAUAAAUACAGCUUGUAUGUAAUAUCAAGGUUAAUAAGAAGAAAUAAGUUUUCCACAAGCUAUCAGAGCAAUGAAGCUCUCACGAGCAUUCUUGGGUUCUUGAUUUCAGUUUAUCAGUUCUUCCUAGAUUCUUCAAAUAUUUUCUCAAUCAUUCUUCAAAGUUCUUCCAUAGCUUCAAUCGUCUUCAAUGGCUACCUCAAAUGCUCUUCCCUCAAAUCUUAGUCUCCUUAUUUCAAAUCUCAAUUCCUUCAUAACUGUAAAGCUGGAUUCUUCAAAUUUCAUCAUUUGGAGAAGUCAAUUUCUCAAUAUUUUGCGUGCUACAAAUUUGCUAGGGUUUGUUGAUGGUUCUCAUCCUUCUCAACCA